UACGGGAGGGAAGAGUGCUGCUCGUCGUAACUGGGAGUACGUGUUCGUAGGCGGCUUAACCCUUAGGUUUUAGAUGGUCACGGAGUAGACGUGGAUAGAGAACUAUUGAGGAAAGCUAGAGUGCUUCAAGGGGUUGAUGUUAUUGCUGUAUUAACGUUGGAAUGUGUUUGGUGACAGCAAGAGGGCCUGAGGCGUAGGCGAUCAACUGGAAGUUACUGACGUUCAAGAACGAAAUCGGAGGGAGCGAACGGG
rnacentral:rRNA from 1 species